UCACUGAUUCCAGGAGAUAGUGAAGGAUGGGGAAGCCUGGUGUGCUGCAGUUUAUGGGGUCACAAAGAGUCGGAUGCAACUUAAUGACUGAACAAUAACAACAUAUAGACUUACUAUUGACUGGGAAGGCUUCUGUGUUGGGGAGUUGGGGUGCAAGGUUAACACUGUGGAUCACUGAGCCUGAGGAUGGUGAUCAGAUUUUAGAGCCAGAAUAUCUGAGUCUGACUUCCAACUCCACAAAAUAACAACUAUAUGACCUUAAACAGGACACACCUCUGAUCAAGCAUCAAUUCUUUCUUCUCUAUUGAUUGAGGUUGAAAUAAAUGCCCUUUCACCUGUUCAGAGGGUUCUCACAACCUCAAAAUGAGGUUGUUGGGAAGGAGCAAAUUAGCCAAAGCGGCAGUGGUUAGGCUCUCUCGCCCCAUGCCCUCUCGCUCUCCCCCCAUGUCUUGUAAGUAAUGAUUUUGUAGCAGCUGAGCUCACUUAUAGCACCGCACAUACACCUCACGAGCUACGUGCUUGGCCAUGGGCUACUUCUGUUCUGUGAGCAUACGUAAGCUCCACCUGGAAAGCCCUUGAGGGCAUGUUGGGCUGUGUGGUGUUAUGUUAUGUCUGCUGCUGCCAUGUGGGAACCAAAAAAGGUUGAGUCUGCUUCUUGGGUGCACUUUGAUAAUUUAAAAGGUCUGGAUAUGUCCCAGGGCCAGAGUCUGCCCACCCAUGCCUUAUGCCACAGCCUCCUUCCUCCAGGAGCACGCCUGUUUCUCUGUGUGUGAGGAGGUGUCUGCUGUAGUAAGGGGUGUUGCUGCUGCUGUGAAAGAGGCCACCCUGGACAGUCUGAGUGGGCCUCAUACGAUAAGCUGGAGGUCUUAAGAGCAGAAACUGAGUUUCCAGGCGAAAAGAGAAUUCUGCCUAAAAACUACAGAAAUCUGGCCUAUGUUUUUAACCUGUUGACUUGCCCUAAAGAUUCCAGAUUCAAGGCUACAACAUCAACUCCUGUCUGCUGGCCAGCCCAGGAUGGGAGGAGUUCUCCAAGGCAGCCGAGGAAAAUCUCUUUCUCCGUUCUUCACUGCAGCCCUUCUCACCAAAUGCCUGCCUCUUUCCUCUUCUUUUGAGUUUCUGUAUAGCCCACAAGCAUCACCUCCCCUAAAUGUCAUUUUGAUCAUGUCACUUGUUGCCAAGAGUUCCAAAUGUUUGUUCAAGAAAAUUAAAUUUCCAUCCCAGAUCUCAAACCCACCAGAUGACUCCCUGCUUUCCUCCUACUCCUCUUUUCUAGCCCCGCCCCCGAACUCUGACCC
ensembl:lncRNA